CGCAGGACGCGCCGGAGCUGGAGCCGCUGCCGAUGGUACCGGUGCGACGCCCCCCGGCUGGGAACGGGGCGGCGGGCAGGGCUGAGGGCCAUGCCCCAGCGCCGUGAGCAGCCCCGCGCUGGUGCCCCAGGAGCUGCAGCCCGGCCCGGCCAUGGACAGCUCAGAGCUGGAGUCGGACAUCCUGCGGCGGGUGCGGGCGCUGCUGCGGGAGCUGGACGGGCACCACCCGUCCUGCCAGAGCGACCGAGGAAUGCUGCGCUGGACCCUGCACAAGAGAAUGGACCAGAACCCCAGAACCAGCGGUGUCCUGGUCAGCAUCCUGGUGAAGGAGCUGGAGAGGGCAGAGCGAGGGGACCUGCGGCACUACAUCAUCCCCCUGCUGCACACGCUGAUGUACACCUUGAUCCAGGCUCCCUGCAUCCCUGACGAGCUCUGUGCCAGGGUUUAUGACUUCUGCAAGAGGCUGCUGACCCUGCCCAAGCCCUUCUGCACCAUCGGGCUGGACUAUGCCAGCAGGCUGCAGCUGGAGAGGGCAGCCCCAGGGACCCUGUACCAAAGGAUGGUCAUCUCCGAGCAGAGCCUGCACAGCGCCGCCUUCCCCUGCCACGAGAGGAUUUUCAUCUUUGCUGACCCCGAGCUGCUGCCCGAAGCCAUCUGCGGGGCUCUGGCCAUGGACACCGAGGCUGCCCAGGUGUCGCAGAGCCCGCGGGGCUCCAUGAGCUGCGUGGUCACCCACGCCCUGCAGGCGGCCCUGGGGGACACCUGCGACACCUCCGGCCUCCGGGCCCGCCUCCAGGCCCUGUCCCCGGGGGACCUGGAGCACUGGUUCCAGCAGGUGGUGUUGGCCGUGGAGGGCAGCCAGGGGGGCUCAGAGCGGGGCCAGCACACGGCGCGGCUGGAGAGGAUCUACCACAGCCUUAUGGGCUCCUCUCCUGCAGGGAAUGAUCCCCAGGAAGGGCUGCAGGGCACCCCUCUGCCCAGCCCCAACAUCAGCUUCCACCUGUGGACAGAGGAUGAGCAGCUCUGGAAGGAGCUGGUGCUGUUCCUGCGGCCGCUGUCGCAGAGCUGCGAGCCCGAGUGCCCGGGGCAGGAGCUGGAGGCCCUGGAGAUGCCGGACCCGCUGCCGGGCUGCGGCUGCUGCGGCCAGAGCCGCUUCUCGGUGCUGUCCACGGACAGCGGCAUCGAGCGCGACCUGCCCGCGCCGGAGGAGCCGUGCGAGCGCUCCCGGCUGCACAGGAAGGGCGGCAUCAAGAAGAAGCCGUCCCCGCUGGACAGCGCGGCCCUGCUGCAGGCCGGCGGCGGCAAGGGCCCCGGGAAGGGCCCCGGGAGGGCGGGGGCGCCCCCCGAGCCCGCGGCCCCGCUGCAGAGGCCGCGCACCGCCCGCGUGGUGCUGCUGGGCGACGACCGCGUCCUGGGCCGCCUGGCACGAGCCUUCCACUCGCUCAGGAAGCGAGAAGCCCGCCGAGUGUUCCUGACGCCCCGGCUGGACCUGCAGUUCUACCACAUCCCCGUGGUGCCGGGGCAGCCCCAACCCUCGGCGGCUGCUGAACACGCUGACCCUGAGGAGCUGUGUGAGGUGGCCGGGUACCUGGGCAGGGCUGACCCCUGGUACGAGAGCAACAUCAACACCCUGGGCCACAUGAUCCCCAAGCUGGCCACCAUGCCCAGCAGGGCCCUGGUGACCGACCCGUUCCUCACCGACGUCAUCGCCUACUACGCCCGCAUGGGCACGCAGCCCGUCUGCUUCCAGGUGCACUCUGUCAAGGUGCUGUUCCAGGACCCAGCCCAGGAGCCAGCUGAGGACGUGUUCCUGACGGAGCUGCUGACCCAGGUGCAGGACAGCCCCUCCCACAGAGAGCUGAGCACGACCAAGAGGAAAAGCACCCUGGAUGGGCCUGGCAUGGACCUCACAGUGACCUGCAGGAGGGUCGUGCUCAGUGAGCGGCAGAAGGAGCUGGCGCUGUCCCUGCGCUCCACGGGCCUGCUGAUGAAAGCCCUCCCUGCAGAGGAGGCUGCAGGCCAGGGCUGCCUCACCGUGACCGUCACUGAAAUCAUCAGGACCAGCAACUUGGCAGGACGCUCGUUCUCAGCUGUGGCACACAGGUUCAGAACUCGCAGCAUCAAGGUCAGGAGCCCAGAGCAGAGACCCUUCACUGUGCGGCUGGACAAGGACAGCAGGAGAACCUACAGGGACGUGAUUGGCCUGGAGGUGUCUCCCUGCCUCGAGCCCAGCUACUGCCUGCAGAAGACGAGGACCACGAAAUGCAGCCCUGAGGAAACAGAGGACGUGGGGCUGGUGAAAUACCUGCCCAAGUCUCUGCUGCUGCCCAUCAACACUUUCGCAGGAGUCAUCCCCUGAAGGGGACAGGAAAAGGUGCUGCGGGUUACGAUGUGGGGCCAGCACAGAGCACACGGGGAGAGAAAACUCUGAAAGCCGCCAGGGGGGACUUUACAUGGCAAUGGUGGGGAAAGCAGACGUGAAUGGGCUCGGAGGGCACAGCCCUGCCCUGUGACAUGUGUGACAAUUGCUGACAACCCCUGCCAAGGACACAGCCCUGCUGGUGACCGUGUGACAGUGUGACAGUGUGACACUGGCCCCAUGCCCCUGCCAAGGGCACAGCCCUGCCCUGUGACAUGUGACAGUGUGACACUGGCCCCAUGCCCCUGCCAAAGGAACAACCCUGCCCUGUGACAGUGUGACCAUGCCAAGGGCACAGCCAUGCCACAGGACUGAGCUUUCACCUUUUACAUAGGUCAGGGAAAAGCUCGGAGCUCUCCAUUCAGGAAGAACAAGGCAGAUCCGUGGGAGGUGGCGUUGCCUGUCCUGGGGAGCCCAGGGCAGCCGGCAGCAGCAAUGUUCCCUUUGGAGAUGUCUCACAGCCCAGCAGGACUCAGCUUUUCACCUCACAAGCUCUGUGCCAGACUGGGGCAUCAAACAUUGUGCCUCGAUGGAAGCUGAGGAGCAGCAGGAGCUCUCGGGCACCUCAGGAAACCUCUGCACGAGCAGCUGCUGUUUUUGGGAUCGUGUGGGCUUUAAGGGGCGACCCCUCUGCACCCCUCUGCCUCCUCAGGGCUUCCCUGUGGGGUUUGCACGCACAGAGAAAAGGCUCAGAAAGCCAAAAGGCUUGGAGCUGGGCUGGGGUGUGGGCUGGAGCCCAGAGUUUGUUCUGUACAGCUGUAAUUUAUGUAGAUGGAUGAUAAAUUAUUUGUAUAGGUGUCACGGAUGACUUGCACCGGAGGGUGCAAUCCUUUCAGUGCCAAUUGAAAGAAAUUAAGACAA